rnacentral:rRNA from 1 species
GACGAACGCUGGCGGCGUGCUUAACACAUGCAAGUCGAACGGAAAGGCCUCUUUCGGGGGUACUCGAGUGGCGAACGGGUGAGUAACACGUGAGUAACCUGCCCUUGACUUUGGGAUAACUUCAGGAAACUGGGGCUAAUACCGGAUAGGAGCUCCUGCUGCAUGGUGGGGGUUGGAAAGUUUCGGCGGUUGGGGAUGGACUCGCGGCUUAUCAGCUUGUUGGUGGGGUAGUGGCUUACCAAGGCUUUGAAGGGUAGCCGGCCUGAGAGGGUGACCGGCCACAUUGGGACUGAGAUACGGCCCAGACUCCUACGGGAGGCAGCAGUGGGGAAUAUUGCACAAGGGGUGGAAGCCUGAUGCAGCAACGCCGUGUGCGGGAUGACGGCCUUCGGGUUGUAAACCGCUUUCGCUCAUGACGAAGCUUUGUGUGACGGUAGUGGGUAAAGAAGCACCGGCUAACUACGUG